CAACGUAGUUCUGUUGGAAAUGGCUUCAGGCUUUAAGGCCUUAGCCCUUUUAAAAAUCUGUGUAUAUGAUUUAUGUAUAUUCGGGUAUAUACACCGUAUACGAUCCAUUUUUUUACUUUCCAAGCCUGUAUUUUCGCUGCACCUUGUGACCUGUAUUUAGUGCUUGUGUUUCAAAUUUUUUGCACCUGUAUUUCAUAUAUUCCGAUCAUAUAUUGGUGUAUACAUCCUGUACAUCAACCUGUUCUUGGCCUACCGGGGCUGAAAAAUUAAUUUUCAGCAAACAAGUUGUUGCUUUUCGACCUGUACGCAAUUUUUAGAGGCUGACUAACUUAGAGGGGAUAGUUUGAGCCUCUUUGUCUCAAUAUGAGAUGCACAG
rnacentral:misc_RNA from 1 species